AUUGAACGCUGGCGGCAGGCCUAACACAUGCAAGUCGAAUGGUAACAGGAAACAGCUUGCUGUUUCGCUGGCGAGUGGCGGACGGGUGAGUAAUGUCUGGGAAACUGCCUGAUGGAGGGGGAUAACUACUGGAAACGGUAGCUAAUACCGCAUAACGUCGCAAGACCAAAGAGGGGGACCUUCGGGCCUCUUGCCAUCAGAUGUGCCCAGAUGGGAUUAGCUAGUAGGUGGGGUAACGGCUCACCUAGGCGACGAUCCCUAGCUGGUCUGAGAGGAUGACCAGCCACACUGGAACUGAGACACGGUCCAGACUCCUACGGGAGGCAGCAGUGGGGAAUAUUGCACAAUGGGCGCAAGCCUGAUGCAGCCAUGCCGCGUGUAUGAAGAAGGCCUUCGGGUUGUAAAGUACUUUCAGCGGGGAGGAAGGGAGUAAAGUUAAUACCUUUGCUCAUUGACGUUACCCGCAGAAGAAGCACCGGCUAACUCCGUG
rnacentral:rRNA from 1 species